rnacentral:rRNA from 1 species
GACAGAGGGUGCUAGCGUUGUUCGGAAUUACUGGGCGUAAAGGGCGCGUAGGCGGUCUGCUAAGUUCGGUGUGAAAUCCCCUGGCUCAACUGGGGAACUGCGUUGGAAACUGGCAGACUCGAGUACCGGAGAGGAGAGUGGAAUUCCUGGUGUAGCGGUGAAAUGCGUAGAUAUCAGGAGGAACACCGGUGGCGAAGGCGGGUCUCUGGGCCGAUACUGACGCUGAGGAGCGAAAGCGUGGGGAGCGAACAGG